AUGCAGUCGAGCGCAGGAGCUCACGGAACUCUUCGGAGGGAAGUGAAGGGAAUGAGCGGCGGACGGGUGAGUAACACGUAAGGAACCUGCCCCAAGGAUUGGGAUAACUCCGAGAAAUCGGAGCUAAUACCGAAUAGUUCUUCAGACCGCAUGGUCUGAUGAUGAAAGGCGCUCCGGCGUCACCUUGGGAUGGCCUUGCGGUGCAUUAGCUAGUUGGUGGGGUAAUGGCCCACCAAGGCGACGAUGCAUAGCCGACCUGAGAGGGUGAUCGGCCACACUGGGACUGAGACACGGCCCAGACUCCUACGGGAGGCAGCAGUAGGGAAUCUUCCACAAUGGACGAAAGUCUGAUGGAGCAACGCCGCGUGAGUGAUGAAGGUUUUCGGAUCGUAAAACUCUGUUGUAAGGGAAGAACAAGUACGAGAGGUAAUGCUCGUACCUUGACGGUACCUUGCGAGAAAGCCACGGCUAACUACGUGCCAGCAGCCGCGGUAAUACGUAGGUGGCAAGCGUUGUCCGGAAUUAUUGGGCGUAAAGCGCGCGCAGGCGGCCUUUUAAGUCUGAUGUGAAAGCCCCCGGCUCAACCGGGGAGGGUCAUUGGAAACUGGAAGGCUUGAGUACAGAAGAGAAGAGUGGAAUUCCAUGUGUAGC
rnacentral:rRNA from 1 species